UACAGCUGAUCAGCAACACCUGUGACACCUGCAGGAUGGGUAUAUGUAACCUGCCACGUGGCUCAGAUUGCAUUUCCUGUUGGUGGCUGCAGUAAUGGGAGCAUUUUGGGCCUUGAUUGUUGCUGUGCUGGCUCUCUGGUUUACCACAGGCUGUGGUUUGCCGGUUGGUGACACAAAUGAAAUGAGUAGUAGUAAUGGCCGCAAGGGCAUAUUAGGGGACUACGGCAACGCAGGCAACAGCACAGUGGGCGACGGCAACGCAGGCAACGGCACCCUAGGGGAUGACGGCAACAGCACUGUCGGCGACGACGACAACGC